UUCAUGGACACACUUACAAAGGGAGAAUCUAUGAAAUAAAGAUGAGGAGAGAAAGGUUAUAGAAAAUGUCUGCUACCAUGCCCCCAUUAUCUCUAUCCAUACCAUAAAAAUAAUUUCA